rnacentral:rRNA from 1 species
GUGUCAGCCGCCGCGGUAAUACGGAGGGUGCGAGCGUUAAUCGGAAUUACUGGGCGUAAAGCGCGCGUAGGCGGUUUGUUAAGUCAGCUGUGAAAGCCCCGGGCUUAACCUGGGAACUGCAGUUGAUACUGGCCGACUAGAGUACGAGAGAGGGAGGUAGAAUUCCAUGUGUAGCGGUGAAAUGCGUAGAUAUAUGGAGGAAUACCGGUGGCGAAGGCGGCCUCCUGGCUCGAUACUGACGCUGAGGUGCGAAAGCGUGGGGAUCAAACAGGAUUAGAAACCCUUGUAGUCC